CUGCAGCCACUUAGGCUGACCAUCCUCAUCUCCCCAUGGGAGCCAGGUAUGCAGUGGCUGCAGAAGACAGUCCAGCACCUUGGUAGUGGACACAGCCUAGUGCUUACAUGGUUUGCCCUAAGGAACCUCAGAGACAGCC
rnacentral:snoRNA from 1 species